GUGUGGGAUGGGUCCGGUUAAGAGAGACUAUUCAAGCCAUCGAUUCACUGAUGAAUGAAGAUGAUGAGCGAUCGGUCAUCUGUAAUAUGCUGGCUUCAUGGCACAUCAACAUCACUCUAAUCACAGUCAGAAGACAGUUGAAGAAACUGGAGUGGACUUAUGACACGUUACAAAGGACCAUGGAAUACAGGAUGGAGUAAAGGACCAUGGAAUACAGGAUGGAGUAAAGGACCAUGGAGUAAAGGAUGGAGUAAAGGACCAAGGAGUAAAGGACUAUGGAAUAAAGGACCAUGGAAUAAAGGAUGGAGUAAAGGACCAUGGAAUAAAGGAUGGAGUAAAGGACCAUGGAAUAAAGGAUGGAGUAAAGGACCAUGGAAUAAAGGAUGGAGCAAAGGACCAUGGAAUAAAG
rnacentral:lncRNA from 1 species